GAUGAACGCUGGCGGCGUGCCUAAUACAUGCAAGUCGAGCGACCAGACGAGGAGCUUGUUCCUCUGCCGUUAGCGGCGGACGGGUGAGUAACACGUGGAUAACCUACCUAUAAGACUGGGAUAACUUCGGGAAACAGGAGCUAAUACCGGAUAAUAUAUUGAACCGCAUGGUUCAAUAGUGAAAGACGGUUUUGCUGUCACUUAUAGAUGGAUCCGCGCCGCAUUAGCUAGUUGGUAAGGUAACGGCUUACCAAGGCAACGAUGCGUAGCCGACCUGAGAGGGUGAUCGGCCACACUGGAACUGAGACACGGUCCAGACUCCUACGGGAGGCAGCAGUAGGGAAUCUUCCGCAAUGGGCGAAAGCCUGACGGAGCAACGCCGCGUGAGUGAUGAAGGUCUUCGGAUCGUAAAACUCUGUUAUUAGGGAAGAACAAAUGUGUAAGUAACUAUGCACGUCUUGACGGUACCUAAUCAGAAAGCCACGGCUAACUACGUG
rnacentral:rRNA from 1 species